UGGUUGUCGUCAGCUCGUGUCGUGAGAUGUUGGGUUAAGUCCCGCAACGAGCGCAACCCUCGCCUCUAGUUGCCAGCAUUCGGUUGGGCACUCUAGAGGGACUGCCGGCGACAAGUCGGAGGAAGGUGGGGAUGACGUCAAAUCAUCAUGCCCCUUAUGACCUGGGCUACACACGUGCUACAAUGGUUGGUACAACGAGUUGCGAGUCGGUGACGGCGAGCUAAUCUCUUAAAGCCAAUCUCAGUUCGGAUUGUAGGCUGCAACUCGCCUACAUGAAGUCGGAAUCGCUAGUAAUCGCGGAUCAGCACGCCGCGGUGAAUACGUUCCCGGGCCUU
rnacentral:rRNA from 1 species